rnacentral:rRNA from 1 species
AUUAAACGCUGGCGGCAUGCCUUACACAUGCAAGUCGAACGGCAGCACGGGGGCAACCCUGGUGGCGAGUGGCGAACGGGUGAGUAAAGCAUCGGAACGUGCCCUGGAGUGGGGGAUAACGUAGCGAAAGUUACGCUAAUACCGCAUAUUCUGUGAGCAGGAAAGCAGGGGAUCGCAAGACCUUGCGCUCUGGGAGCGGCCGAUGUCGGAUUAGCUAGUUGGUGGGGUAAAGGCCUACCAAGGCGACGAUCCGUAGCGGGUCUGAGAGGAUGAUCCGCCACACUGGGACUGAGACACGGCCCAGACUCCUACGGGAGGCAGCAGUGGGGAAUUUUGGACAAUGGGCGAAAGCCUGAUCCAGCCAUGCCGCGUGAGUGAAGAAGGCCUCGGUGUAAGCUCUUCGUGGGUAGAAUUAGUCAUGGCUAUACCCUGUCGUAGAUGACGGUACCUCGGUAGAAGAAGCACCGGCUAACUACGUAGCCAGCAGCCGCGGUAAACG